rnacentral:rRNA from 1 species
GAUGAACGCUGGCGGCGUGCUUAACACAUGCAAGUCGAGCGAAGCACUUACCAUUGACUCUUCGGAAGAUUUGGUAAAUGACUGAGCGGCGGACGGGUGAGUAACGCGUGGGUAACCUGCCUCAUACAGGGGAAUAACAGUUAGAAAUGGCUGCUAAUGCCGCAUAAGCGCACAGUACCGCAUGGUACGGUGUGAAAAACCGAGGUGGUAUGAGAUGGACCCGCGUCUGAUUAGGUAGUUGGUGGGGUAACGGCCUACCAAGCCGACGAUCAGUAGCCGGCCUGAGAGGGUGAACGGCCACAUUGGGACUGAGACACGGCCCAGACUCCUACGGGAGGCAGCAGUGGGGAAUAUUGCACAAUGGGGGAAACCCUGAUGCAGCGACGCCGCGUGAAGGAAGAAGUAUCUCGGUAUGUAAACUUCUAUCAGCAGGG